UACGGAGGGUGCGAGCGUUGUCCGGAAUCACUGGGCGUAAAGGGCGCGUAGGCGGCCUGAUAAGUAGGGGGUGAAAUCCUGCGGCUUAACCGCAGGGCUGCCUUCUAAACUGUCAGGCUAGAGCACAGUAGAGGCAGGUGGAAUUCCCGGUGUAGCGGUGGAAUGCGUAGAGAUCGGGAAGAACAUCAGUGGCGAAGGCGGCCUGCUGGGCUGUUGCUGACGCUGAGGCGCGACAGCGUGGGGAGCAAACGGG
rnacentral:rRNA from 1 species